rnacentral:lncRNA from 1 species
AGAAUAUAAAAGAUGCAUGAUUUUUCAAUCUGGUUUGCUGUCAUAUGGAACCUUGAGCUUCAUAGCAAUGCUAUCAUUUUAAGAAAUGGGAAUUUAAUUCAUAAAUUCCAUGAAUCAACAAUCAAGUCAUAAGUGUGAUUAAGAAGGAGAUGAUUGAGGAAUCCAGUUUAUCAUCUUCCAACUGAAGCGCACAAGACUGGGGGCGACAGGUACUCUAAUGGGUGUGAUGAAUAUAACAGGC